CCUACGGGAGGCAGCAGUAGGGAAUCUUCCGCAAUGGACGCAAGUCUGACGGAGCAACGCCGCGUGAGUGAAGAAGGAUUUCGGUUCGUAAAACUCUGUUGUUAGAGAAGAACAGCGCAUAGAGUAACUGUUAUGCGUGUGACGGUAUCUAACCAGAAAGCCACGGCUAACUACGUGCCAGCAGCCGCGGUAAUACGUAGGUGGCAAGCGUUGUCCGGAUUUAUUGGGCGUAAAGCGAGCGCAGGCGGUCAAUUAAGUCUGAUGUGAAAGCCCCCGGCUCAACCGGGGAGGGUCAUUGGAAACUGGUUGACUUGAGUGCAGAAGAGGAGAGUGGAAUUCCAUGUGUAGCGGUGAAAUGCGUAGAUAUAUGGAGGAACACCAGUGGCGAAGGCGACUCUCUGGUCUGUAACUGACGCUGAGGCUCGAAAGCGUGGGUAGCAAACAGGAUUAGAUACCCUGGUAGUCCACGCCGUAAACGAUGAGUGCUAAGUGUUGGAGGGUUUCCGCCCUUCAGUGCUGCAGUUAACGCAUUAAGCACUCCGCCUGGGGAGUACGACCGCAAGGUUGAAACUCAAAGGAAUUGACGGCGGGCGAAACUCAAAGGAAUUGACGG
rnacentral:rRNA from 1 species